GCAAAAUCAUCAUCUGUUCACCAUAAGGUCUCAUCCUUCCAGAAUGAUGGCAGGGUUUGGUUCCCUGCAAAGUUUAGUAUCAAGUGAAGGUCAUGUCUAGGAACCUCUAAAAGAGCUCAGAAUUUUCCCCUCUAUAAUGUUCAAUCACUCUGAUCAAUAACUGAGAUCCCACCAAGGAACCAAGAUUUUCAGUAUAUAUUUAUAGCAAUAGCAAUGGUUAUUCCCAAAGGAAUCCAGCUCUCCCCCUUUUAUUUAAGGGUACUGGACUUGUUAACUGGAUCAGGUCUAGAAACUUAGUGAGAGCCCAUGGUGUGCCAUGAAGGUGAAUGAAAUUGGGUUUCUGCUCAUGUGACCCAAAAGUUUCUGCCCUAAAGACUGUACUUUAAUGGUUUAGCCACCACCAAUGGUAACCACAUUGAGGUCACACAAUUUCGAUUGUCACUCUGGCUCUUCUACACAUUAUAGUGACUAUACCCACCUUGCCUCCAACAGUUACACCUAGACCCCCAGCCUCUGUGACUCCUGGAUUCCAUGAUUCCAUUUAGAAUGAGAGCCCAUUUCAAGAGCGGCACGUAACAUAUUCCAAGGCAAUUAGAGCAUCCCAGGAUUUUUUCAAGAUUCGAGCGCUCCCUCCACUGAUGCAUUUCCCAAUAUCUCAACAAGGCAAGUGUUUGUGGGUCACACAGGAUAUAUCCACUAUUAUCUCCCUAGUUUAGCUGAGGCCAUUAUAUUGUCUUCAAGCUGGGAAAAAUUAAUCCCCUCAGAGAAACAAGGAGGGGCUGGCUCCACGGUAAAGCACAGGUGAAACUACAAAUAAAGCAGAGAGAAAACUGAUGUUUAAAAUCCUCAGCUUCCUGUUCCCAUGUCUACCCAAUCGAUUCUUAUCUUUUACAUCAAAAAGUUCGGGAGGCUGUGAAUUUAACUUAACAUGUGAUUCUACAAUGCUCAGGGGGCAAAUCUGGGGUCUUAUUUUCUGCUGCAUCAGCACUGCAACAAUAAAAGACAGGACAAUCUUGAGGGACCAAGCACAUCAAGGAGUUCUCCGUUUCUCUCACCAUAUUCGAAUUGAGAGUUUAAAGCCCUAAACUCAUCAUUUCCUUUCUAUGCAGUCAAAAGCAGCCAACCCACUGGAGACUCCUGGAAGUCAUUCAUCAUUCCCACGACAAUGGUCAAUUACAACUUCCAUUUGAUUUCCCAAAGCUUUGGCUUUAGAGAACACUUGACUUCCAAUAAGAAAGCUGCUAAUUUAAGUAACUAAAAGCGCAUGGCAGGGCAUGCUGGCAAUGAGAGCCUACUGUGGUCAAUCCCAAUCAGUCCAGAUAAGCGAUUCCAGAUUCUCAUCUUUGAAAUCUUUUCUGAGACCAGUCCUGGUGAUUAUCCCCUAGAAUUGAAUUAUUCUAGGUAUUUCAAACAUGGGGAAGUUAACAGGAGAAAUUGAAUAUGCAGGGGUUAGAAGAACAACAGGGUGCAUAGCUGGAGGCACAAAAUAAAAACAGGGCUGCUCAUCAAAGCCAGGGCACUACCAUGCUGGGCUGGGGCCCACACGCCUGCAACUACUGCUGAACUGGAAACACUGCCACAGUGGCCGUGGGACUGCUCUGUUACUGCUCCGUGGAGCUCAUAUUUCUCAACAGCAGCACAGACAGAGAUGCUUAAGAAACCAAGCCCAGAGCUAGCAAAACAUCCAGCCACGUGUAGUGACCCUCAUCAUCCUCCACUCCUGCUGGAUGAAGGACACUUUCCAAUAAAGGGGAACAGCUUCUUCUUCCUUCUCGCCCUUCCAUCUUUCAUCAUCACCUUCCAUUGGCUGUAUCUAACAGACACCUUGUUAGCAACGGUGUCUGGCAUACGUGGUUCACAGGCUUUGUAUCCCUGCAGUGGAGUGUACAAGGGCAGGCAUGGAGCUGAGAGAUGACAGCCCUCGAUGGCACAAAAUUAAACACCAGUGGUUAAAUAGAGUAUGGCGGUUUUUAUCUUUGCUUCACCAUAGAACAAGUAAGCUCAAUGGUAAAUUAAGAACUGUAAAAAAAAAAAAAAGGUAUCACGGAAGUACUCAAAAUGCCUUUUCAUUCUAUCUUAGCUUUCUCAAUGUUCAACACGUAUUUCCCAUGUACCAGUUAUUGUGUCGAAUCCUGGAGUUAAAUAGGCAAAAAUCAACUCCAGGAGUUUUUAACACUAGUUUGAGGAAAGAAACAAAAUACAAUAUAAUAAGAACUAGGCUACGUGCACCAGAUCUAGAGAAGAGAGAACUACCGCUCACAAAAGAGUCAGGGAGGCUUCAGGAAAGAAGUGAACACCUUGCAGUAAAAUUAGAGUUUGGCGAGAAUAUAACAAGAAAGGGGUACUCCAGAUCAGAAAUACAGCAGGUGCAGAGGUACACACACGUGACAAAGCAUGCCUGGAAAGUGGCAGAAAGUUACACGGUUGGAAUAUCAAGUGAGAAGCUGAGGGGGGUGGUGAACUGGGCAAAAAGCUGGACGGGUUACAAGGGGUGAAAUAGGGUUCUGUUUCUCCUACAGCUGAUCACAUGGUGUUUGAGGGCUUCAUACAGCAGCGCUGUAAGAUCCAACCUGCAUCCUAGAAAGAUAACUGCCAGAGGAGAGGAGGAUUGAUUAGAGAGCAUAACACUGAGGGAAUGGAAGAGCAGUUAGCUAUUCCAGUGAGAGGAAAUAGCACUAAAGGUGCAAUAAACUGAACUAAAUCCCCACUUGUCCUAUAUUCACUGCCUAAGAAAAGCCUGGCUCUCCUCCUCCUUCCUUUUAUAAGUUCCCAAGCUUCUAAUCAAUCUGUCAGGUAAGCCCAUUUCAAAACUAUCCAUAUAUAUUCUAAUGACCACUUUAAUAACCAUGUUUCUCUAUUGAGGUUAAUAAAAUUAUCCUACAGAUUUUUCUAAACAAAAGAUGGAGACCUGUAGAACAUCACUGAAAAGAGAAGCUAGUCAAGAGCAAUGUGAGUUAAGGCAUGGAAUAUAUUCUAUUUUUCACUUAUUUUGUUACAACUCUUUUACAGCAAAUCUACUCUUAAUAUUCCGUUUAUCAUUUAAAUGCUGUCGUAUUCCCUCAAACAUGUGAAAUAGAAGGACUAGAAAUUCCCCAAAGCAAACCAAGAGGAAAAUAUUUUUAAAGUGUAGUGGCAAAUCCCACCCAUAGAAAAAUUAAGAAUUGAGUCCUUUUGCUUUGAAGGUGGCCCUCCCCCAGAACAGCACUGACUUUUUCAUAUCGUAUUAAAAGGCAAUCAGUUGUGACACUAUCACAGCCCAUUUUAUACUGCCCACCAGGAAAGGGGUCCUCUUCAAUCACAAUCAAUAGUUUUGCACAAAACGUUUUUAUUAAGCCCUUGCUAUGGAAAAUUGGGGCAGUUAAGUAGAGGGAGGUCCAAGCAACAAGGCAAGAAAUAGAGAACUAGCCUUGGUAGGUGAGAAGAAAACAGAACACAGGUGCUUCCCUAAGCAUCUUGCUUAUACCUGUAAUAGGACUUAACGAUACUUUGCUAAAAAUUCAUCUGAUUUCUUUAGCAGCUUUUGAGAGCCUUUGAUGGCAGGACCAAUUAUUAUUCAUUCUUAUUCACUGCACAUAGCACAAGAAUGGCUCAUCAUAAAUAUUCAAUAAAUGCUUAAAGAGAAGGGGAAAGAAGUUGUGGAAAGGGACAGAUACUGACAGAUGAGGUAGGAAAAGGUCCGAGACGAAAUAUGCCUCUUCCUCUGUACUGCCCAGGGCAAUCCAAUCCCUAACAAUCCUUUUUCAUAAACUAGCCCUUUCACAGUUAUCAUCACUCAGAAAUAAAUACUGCUUUUCAUUUCAAGUAGCAAAGAUUAAUUUAAAUUUUUUUCAGUAGGAUUCUGGACGUAAUGCAUUCCUAAAAAGAAAGGAGUUUGAUUUUUAAACUAUUUCUGAGGAUCUUGGAUAUUUUUAAAGUUUACGCAUAUAUUCGGGGGGGGGUUAUUAGAUUAUCUGUAUAUUUAAUGCAGUUUACUCCCCCAAAUUCAUUGCACCAGCUUCAGAGUUAAGCUCUGUUUAAUCUGAACUAAUCAUGGUACCACCUCUUUACCACCAACUAGUACUUCAGUAGAAAUGAAUGAUACUAAGUGAAUUUAGGCAAGUGACACACAAGAUAAGAUUCCUUAGAGUCUUUUAGAAAAAGAAGAAAAAAAAGGUUUUCUUAUUUCUCAACUAAUGAAAAGACAAGUGGUAGAGCUAAUCAUGCCACAGGAGGAUAAACAGAAUAACCCCACUGGCUACGGCAGUCUGGGCAGACUUCAUGGAGGAGGUAAGACUUAUGCCAUGGGCCGUGCCUCAAUGGAACAUUAAUAGGAAAGCACCUCAGGAGAGGAAAGGAACUGCAAGUGGGGAGAAGGUAAAAGCAAAGGCUUAAGUUAAGAGAUGAAGUCAGGGAGGUACUGGAUGUAUUUAAAGCACAAGCCAGCCACCUUAAGUGAAAUUCAUGAACAAAGAGAAGAGGAUAUGGCAAAAAAGGAAGUAGGCACAUGAGUUAAAAAGCAGCAUACAUAGUGCAUUGCAUCAAGCGCCAACGAAGUAAAAUUCUUCAUUGGAUCUGAGUGUACCAUUUAAGAGAUGAAUACAUAGAUUGGAAUAAAAGUAAAAAAAAAAAAAAAAAACUCCCCCAAAUUUUUAGCAAUGAAAAGAUUUAUAUCACUGUAGUGGUUUUUAUUAUUCUUUAGGACUCCAUUCUGAAGCACCACAGCACUAAAAGACUCAGGCUACCAGGGACCUCAUCUUAACAUAUUUCUUUACAAAGGAGUAGAGAGAAUAAGUAAAUUUUUAAAAAAGAAGAUGGAAGAAAGGGAAAAUAAAGAGAUGAAUGAACAUAUCUGACCACAUAUAUCAUAUUUACAUGCUUCAGUAAGAAAAAUUACACCCUCAUAUUUCUAAGCAAUUGUAAAGGAGCAUUUGGAAGGGACCUCACAUCUAAUCUCCUACAAUUCUGACAACUCUAAGAGAGGAUCAUUGGCUCCUUUAAACAGGCAUGAAAAGUGGCUCAAGAGGAUAAAUGGACAUGGAAGAGCCAGAUUCGUACCCAGGCCUCGGACCCUAAACUCUGUAUCCACACCAGGAUUUCACCUAAGAGAUGCGCAUAAUACAAAGUUCAAAAAUAUCUAAAGCCACUCUUAUCUAGAGAUAAAUAAAUACUCAAAUUGUCAACGCAUUAUUAUUCAGACCUGAUGUAGAAACAAAGAUUUAGUCAAGCACAAUGUGAUUUAGCUGAAUAUUUCUACGUUAUGAUCCAACAUUAAAUAUGCAAAGAAUAUUACACGGCUCCCAAGAAAUUGAGGUUUAUCACUCAAACAGACCCUAGACAUUCAGCAUCUUGAAGACCAAGCAGUAAUAAAUUAGAGGAAUAAACUAGUAAUAAAAUAUUCAAAGCUCCAGAAAUUAAAGGCAAGCAUUCUUAGCAAAGAGCGUAUGAGAUUUUAUUUAAUUCUUCAAUUUGGAAAUUUGAAAAAUCAUAAAAAUCAACAAUUCCUCUUCAAUCUCUCAGGUCUAAUUACCAUGGCCUAAUAAGAGACCAUUAGAGAGCUGUUGGGGACAGCCUGUAAGUCACUGAUUUCUCUGGGUUAGUAAAGACUGUUUAUUUUGUUGUCAAUUUAAGGAAAAUUUAAGACUCUUAAAGUUCUUUAAACUUAUUCAGAGUAAGAUUUAAGUUUGUGAGUUUAACAUUUCAUUACUUCCUAAACCUGUCAGAGUUAAAUCAAACUUUUAAAAUGUCAGGAAAGGUUGAAUAAAAUGUGUCAUAGGUUCUAUGUGUUCUCAUUUUUUUAAAAGAGUAUCAAGUAGACAGUUAUGUUUUUAAAAGCUUCAUUUUUCCAACCUGCCCUUUGAUGAGCACCAACUACGUUAAAUAAAUAUUAACAGAAUAUAAACAUUACUUAUAAUGCAAUCCUUAUAAGGCUAUACUUAUCCGAGCUACGGAGGAGUAGAAAAAUAGAAACUAUGUUGGCUUAUAAUUCUGCAGUUAUUUUUUUCUGAUAUAGGACAGAGUCUAAAAAUUUAAAGUGGGAAGGAGGGCCACAGGUGCCAGGAGAGGACCUUGAAGAGGUCUGAGUCUCAGUAUAAUUGAAAGGCAGAUUGAUUCUGCCACAAAGCAGGUGGCAGCCUUUCCCCGGCUGCGUGGUUAAUAUUUGGGUCCCUUACAACCAAGAGCUGAGGAUCUCAGCAGACAUAUACUCAAAGUUGAGUACAAGAGAAGGCGGUGAAGUCUGGCGGUAAAUGAUAGCAGGUACAUACAAAUGUCUGAAGGAAGCAGAGAAAGGGAGGUAUGGGAAUCUGUUCCCCAUAAAAAUAUUUCACCCUAAAAGCUAUCACAGGGAACCUCAGAUCAGGGCCAAAACUACAGCAGGCUUCAACAUCACUAAACCGCAACCAAAACAUUCACUGCAAAAUACUGGUAUGGCUCAGAUCAAACUAGAAAGUGGUUUUCUAGUUCUGAUACAUGGCAAACUUGCAAGACAGCACUUGGGAAAGACAAUACCUUAACAAGCCACUUGAAGACUAAAUACAGCUGUCCCUUGGUCUCCAUGGGAAGUGGUUCCAGGAGGCCCUGUGGAUACCAAAAUCUGCAGAUGCUCAAGUCCCUUAUGUAACAUGACAUAGUACAGGGAGCUCUCUGUACUCACAGAUAUGAAACCUGAAGACAUGGAGGACUGACUGGAACUAGAAUAUAAUUAAGAAAUAUUUCUCUUGGAGUUCCCGUUGUGGUUCCCGCUGUGGCUCAGUCGUUAACAAACCCAACUAGAACCCAUGAGGAUGUGGGUUUGAUCCUUGGCCUCACUCAGUGGGUUAAGGAUCUGCUGUUUCCACGAGCUCUGCUGUAGGUUGCAGAGGCAGCUCAGAUCCCACUGCUGUGUGGUAUAGGCCAGUAGCUACAGCUCCAAUUAGAUCCCCAGCCUGGGAACCUCCAUUUGCCACUGGUACAGCCCUAAAAAGACAAAUGAUUAAAAAAGAGAGAGAGAGAGAGAGAAAUAUUUCUUUUAGCUAACAGACCUUUUAAAAAUAUCUUAGUUACUAAAGUAGGACUAUUAAAUAUCCAGUGUUAUUUAUAUUUUGAGUGUAGAAAUGAUUCUGUCAAACAAAUUACAGGGCAGGUAAAUUGUCUAUUCUUUGCAAGAUUCAGUGUUAGACUAUGCUGAGUAACUCUUAAGAUCGGUCUGCUAAUUAGCCAGAGGUUAGCUAUCCACAGCAAAUAUUUGUUUGUAUCAUCUUAAAACUUGUAUACACAUUGUCACACACUGGGAUAACAAAAGAAAAUAUCCCUUUCGUGUCAUCAUGGUAAUCAAAAAACCACCAUGUGCCUUAAGGUAAGACUUCCAUUAGACUUAGAGAGUUUAAGUAGAAGCUACCACACACAUUUGCAGGGACAAGGCUGAGGGCACGCUUAUACAUUCUGGACUUUGUGAGCCAUCAUUU
ensembl:lncRNA